rnacentral:rRNA from 1 species
CGGGGUGCACCAGGCGCGAAAACUUUACAAUGCUGGCAACAGCGAUAAGGGGACCUCGAGUGCCAGGAUACAAUCUUGGCUGUCGCGAUGCCUAAAAAGCAUUGCAUAGCAAGGGCCGGGCAAGACCGGUGCCAGCCGCCGCGGUAACACCGGCGGCUCGAGUGGUAACCGCUAUUAUUGGGUCUAAAGGGUCUGUAGCCGGCCGGAUAAGUCUCUUGGGAAAUCCAGCUGCUCAACAGUUGGGCUUUCAGGAGAUACUGUUCGGCUCGAGACCGGGAGAGGUGAGAGGUACUUCAGGGGUAGGGGUGAAAUCUUGUAAUCCUUGAAGGACCACCAGUGGCGAAGGCGUCUCACCGGAACGGAUCUGACGGCAAGGGACGAAAGCUAGGGGCACGAACCGGAUUAGAUACCCGGGUAGUCCUAGCCGUAAACGAUACUCGCUAGGUGUCAGCCACGGUGCGACCGUGGUUGGUGCCGUAGGGAAGCCGUGAAGCGAGCCACCUGGGAAGUACGGCCGCAAGGCUGAAACUUAAAGGAAUUGGCGGGGGAGCACAAGGGCGAAUNGCG